AUUUAUAUAGUUUAAUAAAACAUUACAUUUUCAAUGUAAAAAUAAAAUAUAAAAUUUUUAUAAGUA
rnacentral:tRNA from 1 species